rnacentral:lncRNA from 1 species
CCAAAAUUUAUCACUUAAGACGUUUAUAAUUAUUAACCAAUUGGUAAAUCAGCAUUCCAAACUUCUUAGAAUCUACCUCAACUCGAUCAAUCAACAAGAACAUAUGAAAGCAUGAAAGAAAAAGAAAAGUUACAAAAAAAAAAAAAAAAGAAUAACACAAGACGAGCUUUCAUACGGGGUUCACAUCACGCUCCUCGAUGUACAAAGCAGCUAUCCUCACCAUAGCUGAUAUGUACCCGUGAUUCACUAGAACAAUUAAUUCAAGCUCGAGCUUAUGAUCUACAGUGACACACCUUAGGUUUCUUUUUCAAUCUAUUACAACUUCUUAGCCAAAAUAUUGUUUAAGAGUUACGGGAGGAAAAAUGACAUAUACUCACGUGAUCAACACGCGUGUUUUGGGGUUUCACCUCUAUUAACCGGUUUCCACACUUUGGUUAACUUGCACCAAUAAGAUCAAUUGAUGAUCAAGAACAUAAUCCAAGCAUCGUCACAUGGCCAUCUUUUAACAUGCGGAUUGUGAUAACUUAAUGAUGUCAUUUUGUCUAAGAUAUCAAAUCAAACAUGCAAAGAAACACAGAGAAUUGUUCAAUUUGAAUUUUGAAACUAUUUUUGCGGAUGGCCAUGUCUCAUAGACUGGAGAUUUAUGACAAUUCACGAGAUUAUGCUCACCACUUCAGUUUCACAUAUAUCCGAAAAAUAAGAGUAAAAGCAAUAUUAGCUUUAUAAGGCUUCACAUGUUAAUCACCCAUGAAAAAGAGGCAUUUGUACAUUAUUAGUGAAUCUUAAUAAUCAUGCAUCCUAUAUCAGGAU